rnacentral:lncRNA from 1 species
GAAUGACUACAGCUUUAGCUCAGGCUACUGAAUGCAGAAGUCCUCUGUGCUCUGCGAGACCUCACUGACCCAGAAAUGGACCGGGAGUACAGUCUGAAACUACAACACAAUAAGGGACUUCACGGGAAGUGUAGCUCAACUCCUGACUCAAUUCUCCAUAAGAUUCUAGAACUACGUUCUCUUCCCAGGGAAGAUGUGAGCCCUCUUUUGUGUUUUGGAUCUCUCUGGUAUCCAAGAAGUAUACGAGCUUUUUCUCAGAUACCGGGAAAUGGGUGAGGUAUAACAUAGAAGCUACUCUUCCCUGAGACGAGAGGAUCUUCUCACAAUGGGGGAUGCUCUGUCCUAGCAGACAGUGGAGACGGUGAAGACCUGUGUUCAUCCCAGUUCUUGGACUCCCUGAAUUCUCUUUUUAAAAUCUUUGUGUGGAGUUGAAGAGAUGGUUCUGCAGUUAAGAGCACUUGUUGCUCUUGUAGAGGAACUGGAUUUGCUUUCCAGCACCUGCAUACAAUGGUGGUUCCCAAUCACCUGUAACUCCCAAUCCAAGGGAUCUGACAUCUUCUGAUUUCCUCAGGCAUAUGAUGCCCAGACAAAAUACCUAUAAACAUAAAAUAAAUGUCUUUACAAAUU